AUGUGGGCUGGGGAACUCUGGGUGAGUACCUACUGGUAUGUAUGUACGUACAUAACUUACAAAGACUACAAUAACAAUGUGAAUUGUGGAAGUUUGGUAUUGCUCAUAGUGAUACACACACCAUUUUCUUUAGUGAUAUAUACAUCCUUUAUCAAUUCUAUAAUCGUUCCUGGUAUAUCAAAGUGGAAUUUUUCUUUUUCGAGAUUGAAGUGCAGAGAAACUGUGUCUCGCCUUUCUUUUUUCUUUCUUACUCUGAUAUUUCUCUUCCCUGCUUUUCUUCGCUCUGAUGAGAACUCCCUCCCAUCUUCCACAUCAAAGAGCAGCAAGCGAUGA
rnacentral:rRNA from 1 species